rnacentral:rRNA from 1 species
AACUUUCAACAACGGAUCUCUUGGUUCUCGCAUCGAUGAAGAGCGCAGGGAAAUGCGAUACCUAGUGUGAAUUGCAGCCAUCGUGAAUCAUCGAGUUCUUGAACGCACAUUGCGCCCGUCGGUAUUCCGGCGGGCAUGCCUGUCUGAGCGUCGUUU